GCACUGGUGGUUUAGUGGUAGAAUUCUCGACUCCCACACAGGACACCUGGGUCUGAUUCCCGGCCAACGCA
rfam:Danio rerio chromosome 4, GRCz11 reference primary assembly.